GAAAGACCCCGCAGCGACAGCGCUCUCCCGGUGGAAGGAAGGAGCAGAGCGUGAUAUGGCAUCUACACUCUGCCUGUGUGCUGCUGAUGCUGAAUCUCCCCAGCCUGGAUUUCAGGCAGUACAGCCUCUACUGAGCCUUCCCGGUCAGCCAGGUUACACGGUGUGUCCAGGUCCACUUCACCUCUUUUGAAGAUAUCCUUGUAUCCUUUUUUUUUUGCUACAUUCUUGUUAGUGUA